rfam:Lupinus angustifolius cultivar Tanjil contig_1834, whole genome shotgun sequence.
AGGUGCGAUCAUACCAGCACUAAUACACCGGAUCCCAUCAAAACUCUGCAGUUAAGCGUACAUGGGCGAGAGCAGUACUAGGAUGGGUGACCUCAUUGGAAGUCCUCGUGUUGCACCUA